rnacentral:lncRNA from 1 species
UAAUAUUACAAAACUCGAACCAAACGGGCCCUUAUGAGUAUUGGCUCCCUUAUACUCAUAAGUUUUUGGCCUUUAGAUUUAUUCCAUUGAUCAUUUCCACCCGUUAUAUCAUACUAUUAAACCAACUACCUACUCAACCCUAGGGGACCACUAUCAUUCUAAGUGGGGACCACCAUCAUCCUAACCACACAUUCCAUUAAUCAACGGUUAAAAAUUUAUAAGUAUAAGGGGGUCUAUACUCAUAAGAGUAUAGUAGCCCCAGCCUAUAUAUAUACACACACACAUAUAUAUAUAUAUAUAUAUAUAUAUAUAGAGAGAGAGAGAGAGAGAGAGAGAGAGAGAGAGAGAGAGAGAGAGAGAGAGAGAGAAUUGGGUUGAGUAGUAUUAAUAGUAUUUGACCUCUAUUGCUAUUGAAUUUUUAAUUUUUGGAUGAAAAAUUAGAGAAUUAGAAUGAUAGUAGUCAUCUAGGAUUUAGUGGUGGUCCUUCUCUAGAGUUGAGUAGAUGGUUGGUUGUAGUAUGAUUUAAAUGGUAGAAUUGAUUAAAGUGUAAAUAGAUCUAACAAAAGAACCAAAAUACUACUAAUAAUAUUCUAACUCAACUCUCUCUCUAUAUAUAGAAUUAUACUACUAUACUGUUGAUAGAACUCAACACUUGGUGCUAUCGAGUUUUUGGGAUUGAAAGAAUGUGCAGCUUGAUGAUAGUAGUCCUUUGGGGUUAAGUGAGUGGUUGAUUGAAUAGCAUAAUCUAACGAGUGGAAAUUAUCAAAGAAUAGAUCUAACGGUAGAAAACUCGAUAGUACCAAGAGCUUGGUACUAUUGAUAGUAUAGUAGCCAGACUUUCUCGAAUCCGGCUGUUAUCCUUUUAAUAGGAUAGGGACCUUCGUCCUAUCAAAUCAUUUUUGAUGAUAGAGAUUUCAAAUCGAUGAUUGGAACUGUUGAAAUUGAUCUAGAGUAUUUGAAUUAUUUAGGAACUAAAUUUUAUAAAAUUUAAAAUUUAUUUAUAUAGUGAUCAAAGGAUUACAAAUUUGAUAAUUUUUUACUGCCUAUAUGAGCCGUUUACUUGUUUAGCGGUAUGGAGUAAUCCAAACCGGUUGAAUUUUUGAUAAAAUUUUUUUUAUACUAUUUAGACAAUGUUUAAUAACUCCAAUCGUAAAUUGAGAAAGUCUAAACUCUGUUUUAAGAAGGCCAUUUGUUUUUAACCGUUCAUUUUUCGACUCUUCGAUAGACUUGAUAAUAAUUUUUAAAAAUUACAAAAUUCAGUUUCUAAAUAUUUCUAAUAGUGUAGAUUAAUUUUAACGAUGCCGAUUAUCAAUUUGAAGUUCCGAUCAUGCAUCUAAAAUGACUUGAUAGGAUAAAGCCUUCUAUCUUCUUAAGAAGAUAGUAGCCGAUCUCUCUCUCUCUCUCUCUCUAUCUCUCUCUCUCUCUCUCUAUAUAUAUAUAGUCCGGUUACUAUACUCUUAUGAGUACAAUCGCCUUCGUACUCAUAAGUUGUUUUCGACGAUAGAGCUUCCGAAUUGACGAUCCAUACCGUAAAAUAUUAUCUAGAGCAUUUAAACUUCUAAAAUUCAAAUUUUAUAAUUUUUCGAUAUCAUUUACCUUAUGAUCAAAAGUUCACAAAAUUGACAAUUUUUAACAGUCGGUACGAGAUAUUUGCUACUUUAACGGUAAAAAAGAAUCGGAAUAGGUUGAAUUGUGAGAUCCCUAGUGUUCAGCAGUGAAGGCUUGUCGACAGCUCUGGAGAGUGUCGGGACAAGUCUGAGUCACGUUGGCGCGAAAUAGAUGCAAAACGGACUUUGUGCGACACGAGAGCAGCAUUU